CAUUAUGGUGGGCUGGGCAGGGCAGCUUCGGCUGGCCGUGUCUGUUGCGCGGUAUUCCUACCCCUGUUCAGUUCACCACCCGA
rnacentral:antisense_RNA from 1 species